rnacentral:rRNA from 1 species
AUUUGUCUGGUUAAUUCCGAUAACGAACGAGACCUUAACCUGCUAACUAGAUACUUUUAUUCUAUAAAUGUCAUCUUCUUAGAGGGACUAUGUAAUUAAAAUACAUGGAAGUUUGAGGCAAUAACAGGUCAGUGAUGCCCUUAUAUGUCCUGGGCUGCACGCGUGCUACACUGAUGCAUACAACAAGUGCCCAACCAGACAUGGUACGGCAAUCUCGAAUAUGCAUCGUGAUGGGGAUAGAUCUUUGCAAUUAUAGAUCUUGAACGAGGAAUUCCAAGUAAGUGCAAGUCAUCAUCUUGCAUUGAUUAUGUCCCUGCCCUUUGUACACACCGCCCGUCGCUCCUACCGAUACCGGGUGAUCCGGUGAACCUUUUGGACUCAUCUGAGAAAGAUAAGUAAACCAUAUCACCUAGAGGAAGGAGAAGUCGUAACAAGGUUUCCGUAGGUGAACCUGCRGAAGGAUCA